rnacentral:ncRNA from 2 species
UGCUACGCUGCGAGGGCCAGUCGACUGUCCGUGAGAACGGCCGGUCAGGGAAUCCGGUGAGAGUCCGGAACUGACGCGCAGCGGUGUGGGUGACGGGCGGAGCACGACGCGAGACAGGGUCUCGCGCAGCCACUGGGACCAAGAGUCCCGGGAAGGCGUUCCGUCCCGGACGAUCCCGAGUCCGAAGACCUGCUGGCCCUUGCGGUGACAC